UGGCGUUGGAAAGGUAGGAUAAGAAGAAUAGGGAAGUCACUUGAUCGGGAAUCACAAAUAACGAAUAAACAAAAAAAUUCCAAUACUUCACUUUUUUUUAUACUCGAACUUUUUUUUUACUUCAAUUUUUUUUCAAUUACAAUAGAAUAAAUACACUUGAGUGCCUCUUUCUUUUUUUAUGCACGAUUUUUUUUCAUAAACCUAUCUUUCGGGAUAGCUACGAACGUCAGUGCUCCUCGUUUUGCAAACUCU
rnacentral:lncRNA from 1 species